rnacentral:lncRNA from 1 species
GAACGUGACACAUCCUUGUCAGGGAGACAACUGUUAGAGCAAAAGAAAUACGGAAGUACGAACUGUGUUUUGACAGGAGGAAGUAGGGCCGUUUGUCUGUAGUUGAGGAGUGUGUUUAGAGAAGUAGGAAAAACAUAGGUUAGAAACUCAGGAUGGAAUCAAAUAAUGGAGGACUUAUGCCAGACCAGGUUGGGCUAUGAAUGCAUUUGAGAAUGGGAGUGGUGGUGAUAAAGGUGGUGGACACGCACCAGGGAGCGAUGAGGAUGAGAAGGGUUGAGGGACUGCUGCAGAGACUACGUGAUAGGGGCCUGAACAGGGAUGUUGAGGGCGGGAGGAAGAAGAGAUGCAGAUGUGAGAAAGAUUGGGAAGGGAAGAAAGGCAGCGCCAGUCAAGUAAUGAGAUGGUGGUAGGGUUUUGUAGAGUGGUAGAGACUUGAAAAGAUGCUAGAACAUCAUUUUAUGAGACAAUAACAUAUUUCUAGGAGGGCGUAUUUGCAGUGAUGUACUGCACAUGCCCUGUGCUUUAGCCUUAGCGGAAGUCAUGCCACACUUCCUUGAUUAUACCAGGACACCCAAAUCUGUGCAUUGACAGCUCUCUCCGUCUGAAAUAUCCCUCUGUUUCUGCUUUGCCUGGUAAACUUCUAUUCAGGCUCAUCAGCAUACCAGGGCAGAGUUAGGGUGCUCUAAUCCCUGAACUGUGAGAGUUUUCCUUACAUUAUCUCCAAAUAAUUAUUAUAAAAAUUAUUUGACCACAGAUUUCCUAUUUUAAAAAUCCUUGAUGCUAAAUGAAGAUCUUUCAAAUGGAUUACACAGGUGCAAGUUACUUUUUUCACAUUUUCUUAAUGUUUCCUCAACACCCAUUCUUAAUUCAGUUGGGGAAGGGUAAACCAAAAUGGGGAGGAAUUAGUGGGAAUCAAAAUUCAGGUUAUACUCUGAUGCAUUUUGAACAUAUUAAAUUAAUCCUUAGUAUUCUCCUCAGGAAACUUUAAUGAUACAGGGAAUAGACUAAGGACUUCUUUUGGGGAUACAUGAAACAAAUUUUUACCUACUGUGUAUAUAUUUGGUUAUGGCUUUUAAAAGUAGUUGGGGAAAACAGGUCAUUUUGACGGUUAAACAGUGUCACAUAAAAGAAAAAGCGCUAUGCUGCUGAUCUCUAAAAAGCCAUUUAACCUCUCUGAGUUUUAUCAAUUUCCUUGUCAGUUUCUUCGUCAAUAAAUUGGAAAAACAACAUCUUCCUUUCUUGUCAAAGUCAAUAGAGACUCAAUGAAAUCAUGAAUAUGGAAGUGUUUGGGAAACUGCCAGAACAUUAACCUUAAAUGUAAAGUGUAGCAGCUGGUGGACAUGGAACUAAAUUUAAUUUUGUCUACUUAUAUGUCAAAGUUGUGCUGACUAUUAAAAACACUGUGAUUUUAGUAUUUUCCUUCCACUUAAAUGUAGUUUUUAAAUGGCUAUUUUAAAAUGUUCAAUGUGCAUUUUAAAUUACCAUUUACAAUGGUGUUCUUUGAUUAAUUUACACUGGUUUUUCUUUGUCAUAAAGAGAAUUACUUAAAAACUCAGCAAGUCAGUACAUCAUGGUAGUAACAAAGGCAUAAAUCUAAGAAUUUAUUGUGCUACAUUCUGCAAAGGUAAAUAUAAUUUAUUGUAAAAUAAUAUUGAGAUAUAA